ensembl:lncRNA
AAUGAUAGNAAAUAUUGAAUCUCAUUCAGUUACUGUUACCUACCCUCUUAAAAUCCAUUUUGUAGUUGUUUAUCGACCCCCAGGACCACUAUGUAAUUUUUGGAUGAAUAAGAUGUGCUGCCCUCAACCUUUCCUGAGGAUGGUACUCCCCUAGUUAUGCUUGGAGACUUCAGCAUCCACCUAAAUAAACCUCAGGCUGCAGACUUCCACACUCUGCUUGCCUCUUUUGUUUUCAACCAAGUGUCAACUACUGCUACUCACAAAUCAGUAUAACCAACUGGACCUUAUUUACACACGACACUGCUCCACUGAUCAUGUACUGGUUACUCCACUGCACACCUCGGAUCACUUCCUCCUCACUCUUAACCUCAACAUGGUCCCUGACACAUCACUUACCCCUCCACAUGUCAUCUUACGACGUAACAUACGCCCACUCUCACCCUCCCGGCUAUCUGCUUUAGUUUCAUCAUCGCUUCCUUCCCCUAAACUGUUAGCAUCUUUUAAUGCUAACAGUGCUACUGCUACUUUCUGCUCCACUCUUACAUCUUGUUUAGACACUGUUUGCCCCUUGUCUUCCAGGCCAGCCCGUACCACCCCUUCAGCCCCUUGGUUAUCUGAUGUUUGUAGCGAACAUCGUUAUAAGCUUAGAGCUACUGAAAGGGUGUGGUGCAAAUCCAAAAAUACUACUGACCUUAAUGUGUAUCAGUCACUCCUCUCCUCUUUCUCUGCUAAUGUCUCCACUGCUAAAAGGAUAUACUACCAUAACAAAAUUAACAAUUCGUCUAACUCUCUCAUGCUUUUUAAAACAUUCUCCUCGCUCCUUUGUCCUCCUCCCCCUCCUGCAUCAACUCUAAUAGCUGACGACUUUGCCACAUUUUUCAUUAAUAAAAUUAAAAAUAUCAGUGCACAAUUUUCCACACCACAAUCUGUCAAGCACAUCUCACCAGCAAACAUACACUCAUUCACAUCCUUCUCUUCAUUCUCUGAGGCAGAAGUCUCGAAACUAAUCCUUUCUAAUCAUCCUACUGCUUGUCUGCUUGAUCCUAUUGCAUCUAAUCUCCUUCAAGCCAUUUCUCAUGAAGUUGGACCUGCACUCACUCACAUCAUUAACACAUCCCUUCAUACAGGU